ensembl:lncRNA
GUCUUGAUAUUCAAGGAAUUUUCAUUCUCCCCCUAAAGUCGCGACUGGGUUCCCAAGGGGUACAGGCGCCCUCCCUCCACGCAUGUAAUGGGCAUGGUGUCCCUUUAAGAAACUCCAUGUUUUUUUCACACAUGUGAUCGGACUGAGGAACGGGAUGAUGCUGUUAUGUAAAAUGCACUGUAAAACAAGAUGCCUGUUUGCACUGAGAAGAAUCUUACAGACGGUGUCGGUCCCUAGAAAGAACUAAGCGCCGCGGCGCGAACCCGAGGAGCCUACAACAGAACUUGUCGAUUCUGCUGCCUCUCGGCGCUGGAGGGUCCCACACUACACGAUACGCAGGCUACGUGCGGAGCCGAGUGAUGUUCGUUCUGUUACUCGCGGCGGCGCACAUGUAAUUAUUUCUACCUGUGCGUAACAUAUGGCCUGUCUAACUGUCUUAUAACGAAUGUAGGGUAAGAGACUGGUAGCUGGUUGCACUCGAGCAGCCACCCAUCCGAAGUCUGGAGGCGGGUUAGGAGUUGUUUUCCUCGCACGGUGAUUAUUUCGGGGGCAUCCUCGGAUCGAGGUACAGGCUAAAGGCAACACGGUGCGACAUCUGACAUAAGUGGAAGACAAGUCGACGUAUUUUAGAUCAAAAACUGGGUCUAAUUGGGGACAUCUGGCGCAAUAUGAGAGUAAAACCUUGAAAAGAGCAAAACAAAUCCAGCAUCGAGAGGAUAAGCUUGCUUGCAUCGGUUUGCAGAUCCAGCGACAGCGGAGUGCCUGGAACUCGGGUGAGUAACGCCAGGCUAGACAGUUUUGCUUUUUUAUGUAUCUGUGGGUUUGCCAACUUGGUUAUAAGCAUGGAGAUUGCAUAGCAUAACAAGUGUUUUGAUUACGAUGGUUGGUACAGGCUACGCAUUGUCAACUAGCCUCAAGUGAAGCCGUAGAGAAGAGAAUACCAGGGAGUGGUACUUGGUUUCGUAGAAAUGUGCGCUAUGGACAGUGGUGGCAGCGGCUGCAGCCCUGCUGUAGGUAUUCGGCGUGUCCAUCCAAUUACUGACACAGCCAAUGUUACAAUGUAAAUAUAACAAAUCAUUCAAUCAUAUCGGUCAGUCAGUAUUUGUGGACCUAUGUGUAUACUGAAAGUCACAUUUAAUCAGAUAAUUUACGUUAGCUUAUUAGCUAUAUGUGAUCAUGAAAGAAGCUGACGGGAGCUCCGAUACUUGACAGCUGCAGCUUGCUAGCGAUACCUAAGUACAGAAAAGUUAGUGUUAGUAUCACCAGUGUUAACUUCGCUGUGUCACGGGUCUGCAAUUAUUGUGGGUGAUGUGUAACGUGUUUGUAACCGCUCGCGGGUGUAGUAGCCGUGCAAUAGAUGAGUCAUGUCAUGUAGGCUACCGUGUGCACACGGCACGUCACGGUUAGGGGAACGCAAGGAAGUGGAUAGACUAAAGUUCUCUCGGCAGUCAACAAAGGUGUUCAGAAGUGGCUGGAAUAAUUUAGCCGACUACCUUGGUACAUUGAUUGGUUGCCUCCUUUAUAUUUGUGGAAAGCACGAGUUUGCUAUUCAUUAGAGAUGAAUAGUUUCAACCAGAACUUAGACUCACACACAGGUGCGCGACUUGAUCACGACCUUGUGGGCAACUGCUUACGUCUCUCGUAGUGAUGACAUCACAGCUCGGACUGAGUGUUCGAAGUGACACUUCAACCAUGUGAUGCUUGUGAUGAUGAUACGGGACCAAAUGUCAGCACAAUGCAACCUAAUAGUCUAAACCAUGAAUCAUCAUAGCUAAGCUAACGCACGAUAAGAAAUACAUUUUGUAUGAUUCAAAAAUGGAUUUAUUUAGGCUAGCCUACCUCACACCUUUCUCUUGCCUGUGCUCUGACUGUACUGUGACGUCAGGUGUCUGGCUCAGUUAGUGUACUGAACAGUCAUGUUGCACUAUUUUAACUUGAAGGUAGACUUUGUCACAAGAUCUCAAACUUUGUAUUGCAAUGAGGAUCUAAACAUUUGGUGCGAAAGAGCGAAACUGUGGCGGCCUUAAAUUUGUUUUGUGCCUAUCCAUUUAGCUGAUCACUGAUCCUCCUUAGAGUUCUUUAUCUCUCCAUGAUAGAUUUGUAGACGAUGCUGGUCUUCUUGUCCCAUUAGUCAUUUACACCCCCAUUGGAGCAGCCAUUUAACCUGGGAAGUUUGAAGUUGAUCAAGAUGUGUUCAUGGUGUCCUCGUGAGAGUGUGAUAGUGUCAUGAGAGUGUGAUAGUGUCAUGAGAGUGUGAUAGUGUCGUCAUGAGAGUGUGAUAGUGUUGUGAGAGUGUGAUAGUGUCGUCAUGAGAGUGUGAUAGUGUUGUGAGAGUGUGAUAGUGUCAUGAGAGUGUGAUAGUGUUGUGAGAGUGUGAUAGUGUCAUGAGAGUGUGAUAGUGUCAUGAGAGUGUGAUAGUGUCCUCGUAAGAGUGUGAUAGUGUCAUCAUGAGAGUGUGAUAGUGUCAUGAGAGUGUGAUAGUGUCGUCAUGAGAGUGUGAUAGUGUCAUGAGAGUGUGAGAGUGUGAUAGUGUCCUCGUGAGAGUAUGAUAGUGUCGUCAUGAGAGUGUGAUAGUGUUGUGAGAGUGUGAUAGUGUCAUGAGAGUGUGAUAGUGUCGUCGUGAGAGUGUGAUAGUGUCAUGAGAGUGUGAUAGUGUCAUGAGAGUGUGAUAGUGUCGUCAUGAGAGUGUGAUAGUGUCCUCGUGAGAGUGUGAUAGUGUCGUCAUGAGAGUGUGAUAGUGUCGUGAGAGUGUGAUAGUGUCAUGAGAGUGUGAUAGUGUCAUGAGAGUGUGAUAGUGUCGUCAUGAGAGUGUGAUAGUGUCGUCAUGAGAGUGUGAUAGUGUCGUCGUGAGAGUGUGAUAGUGUCAUGAGAGUGUGAUAUUGUCGUCAUGAGAGUGUGAUAGUGUUGUGAGAGUGUGAUAGUGUCAUGAGAGUGUGAUAGUGUUGUGAGAGUGUGAUAGUGUCAUGAGAGUGUGAUAGUGUCAUGAGAGAUGAUAGUGUCGUCAUGAGAGUGUGAUAGUGUUGUGAGAGUAUGAGAGUGUGAUAGUGUCAUGAGAGUGUGAUAGUGUCGUCAUGAGAGUGUGAUAGUGUCGUCAUGAGAGUGUGAUAGUGUCAUGAGAGUGUGAUAGUGUCGUCAUGAGAGUGUGAUAGUGUCGUCAUGAGAGUGUGAUAGGUGAUGUUCAUGAGAGUGUGAUAGUGUCAUGAGAGUGUGAUAGUGUCGUGAGAGUGUGAUAGUGUCAUGAGAGUGUGAUGUGCAGUCAGCAGUGAGAAAGAACCUCUGAGGCAUCAGUCAGCCUCUGAUCUGAU